CAGCCGCCGCGGUAAUACGUAGGGGGCAAGCGUUAUCCGGAAUUACUGGGUGUAAAGGGAGCGUAGACGGUUAAACAAGUCUGAAGUGAAAUGCCGGGGCUCAACCCCGGAGCUGCUUUGGGAACUGUAGAACUGGAGUGUCGGAGGGGUAAGCGGAAUUCCCAGUGUAGCGGUGAAAUGCGUAGAUAUUGGGGGGAACACCGGCGGCGAAGGCGGCUUACUGGACGACAACUGACGUUGAGGCUCGAUGGCGUGGGUAGCAAACAGGAUUAGAUACCCCCGUAGUCCCUGUCUCUUAUAC
rnacentral:rRNA from 1 species